CGGGUGAGUAACACGUAUCCAACCUGCCGAUGACUCGGGGAUAGCCUUUCGAAAGAAAGAUUAAUACCCGAUGGCAUAGUUCUUCCGCAUGGUGGAACUAUUAAAGAAUUUCGGUCAUCGAUGGGGAUGCGUUCCAUUAGGUUGUUGGCGGGGUAACGGCCCACCAAGCCUUCGAUGGAUAGGGGUUCUGAGAGGAAGGUCCCCCACAUUGGAACUGAGACACGGUCCAAACUCCUACGGGAGGCAGCAGUGAGGAAUAUUGGUCAAUGGACGAGAGUCUGAACCAGCCAAGUAGCGUGAAGGAUGACUGCCCUAUGGGUUGUAAACUUCUUUUAUACGGGAAUAAAGUGAGGCACGCGUGCCUUUUUGUAUGUACCGUAUGAAUAAGGAUCGGCUAACUCCGUGCCAGCAGCCGCGGUAAUACGGAGGAUCCGAGCGUUAUCCGGAUUUAUUGGGUUUAAAGGGAGCGUAGGCGGACGCUUAAGUCAGUUGUGAAAGUUUGCGGCUCAACCGUAAAAUUGCAGUUGAUACUGGGUGUCUUGAGUACAGUAGAGGCAGGCGGAAUUCGUGGUGUAGCGGUGAAAUGCUUAGAUAUCACGAAGAACUCCGAUUGCGAAGGCAGCUUGCUGGACUGUAACUGACGCUGAUGCUCGAAAGUGUGGGUAUCAAACAGGAUUAGAUACCCUGGUAGUCCACACAGUAAACGAUGAAUACUCGCUGUUUGCGAUAUACAGUAAGCGGCCAAGCGAAAGCGUUAAGUAUUCCACCUGGGGAGUA
rnacentral:rRNA from 1 species